rnacentral:rRNA from 1 species
UACGAAGGGGGCUAGCGUUGCUCGGAAUGACUGGGCGUAAAGGGCGCGUAGGCGGACGGCUUUGUCGGGCGUGAAAUUCCAGGGCUUAACCUUGGGGCUGCGUUCGAGACGGGUUGUCUAGAGUUUGGAAGAGGGUCGUGGAAUUCCCAGUGUAGAGGUGAAAUUCGUAGAUAUUGGGAAGAACACCGGUGGCGAAGGCGGCGACCUGGUCUUUUACUGACGCUGAGGCGCGAAAGCGUGGGGAGCAAACAGG